CCCUUAGACGUUCUGGGCCGCACGCGCGCUACACUGACCAGUGCAACAAGCAUCCGUCCUUGGCCGACAGGCUCGGGCAAUCUUUGAACGCUGGUCGUGAUGGGGAUAGACUUUUGCAAUUUUUGGUCUUCAACGAGGAAUUCCUAGUAAACGCAAGUCACCAACUUGCAUUGAUUACGUCCCUGCCCUUUGUACACACCGCCCGUCGCACCUACCGAUUGAAUGGUCCGGUGAAGCCUCCGGAUUGGCGCGCACCUCGGUGCCGCCGAGAAGUUGGCUAAACCUUACCAUUUAGAGGAAGGUGAAGUCGUAACA
rnacentral:rRNA from 1 species